UAAAAUUUGCUUCAUAAAUAUUAGGAUGUGAUAAUUAUUAGAUCAUAAUUAUAAGUAGGAACUUCUCUCCAAACCAAAUUAGGAGAACCAUUUAGAUAGUGACACAUGACUAUUUAAGUUCUAUCAAAGCAUUUACUGAGUUCUUACCUUUUGUCAGAUGUUGUUUAAAAUCUUUAUUAUGUAUUGGCUUAUUUAUUUCUAACUAAAAACACAUGAGGUAGGUAGGUAGUUGUAUGAGUCAUGGUUCUCCAAAGUAGCAAACCAAUAGGGUGAGUAUAUGUGUGUAUGUGAUCUAUUAUAAAGAAUUGAUCCAUGCAAUUAUGGAGCCAGGUAUAUCCCAAAAUAUUGGGGUGAGCCAGCAAGCUGGAGACCCAAAGACCUGGUGGUUUAUUUCCAGUCCCAAUCUGAAGGCCUGUGAACCAAGAAAGCCAGUGGUGUAGUUUCUUUCAGUAGCCUGGCAGGCUUUAGACUAGGAGGAGCUGAUCGCUCAGUCUGCAUCUGAAAGCAGGAACUUCAACUGAUUUCCUAAUUUGAAGGCAAUCAGGAGGAAUUCUCUCUUACUUGGAGAAGGGUCACCACUUUUGUUUCAUUCAGGCUUUCGAUUGAUUGGGUGAGGCCAACCCACAUUAGGGAGAGAACUAGCUUUAUUCCUUCUAUUUAUUUAAAUGAUCAUCUCAUCUUUAAAAAAUAACCUCACAGAAACACGCAGCUAAUGUUUGGGCAGAUAUCUGGGCUCCCAGUGACCUAGUCAAGGUGACAAAUAAAAUUAACUAUUAGAGUGGCAUCAUCCCUAUUUUAUUCCUAUUUUUUAGCUAAAGAAACUGAGUUAUAGGAAGGAAAAUUAAUUGACUCAAGGUCACUUAGAACAUUAGCACUUGAGUCAGAAAUUCAACCCAGUAGAUCUGUCCCCAGUGUACAGAUGCUCAUAGACUUGGAAUGGGGUUACAUCCUUCUUGUAUGACAGAUUUAUCUGGACAUAACCCAACUGUAAGUAAUGGCCAUCAAUACAUAGCUCUUCCACAAUGUUGUGAAGUAGAAAUAUAUUCUUUUGGCAAUUUUGAGAUACACCAUAUGUUAUUAUUAACUGUAAGCAUGUUGUGCAAUAGAUCAAUAGAACAUAUUCCUCCUGUCUAACUGAAACUUUGUACACUUUGGUUAACAUCUCUCCUAUUUUCAUCCACCUAUUCUGCUCUAGCUUCUGAUAACCACCAUUCAAUUACUUCUAUGAAUGUGACUUUUUUAGAUUCCACAUAUAAGUGAGAUCACAUGGUAUUAGUCUUUCUGUGCCCGGCUCCUUUCACUCAGCAUAAUGUCCUCUAGAUUCAUGUAUGUUGUCCCAAGUGAGAGGCUUUUCUUUUUUGAGAGAAAAUAGUAUUCCAGUGUGCAUUAUACCGCAUUUUGUUUAUCCAUUUAUCAGCUGAUAAACAUUUAAGUUGUUUCUAUAACUUGGCUUUUGUGACUACUGCUGCAAUGAACAUGGAAAUACAGAUAUGUCUUUGACAUCCUAAUUUUUUUUUUUUUUUUUUUUUUUUUUUGUGAUGGAGUCUCACUCUGUUGCCCAGGCUGGAGUGCGGUGGUGUCAGCUCAGCUCACUGCAACCUCUGCCUCCCGAAUUCAAGUGAUUCUCCUGCCUCAGCCUCCCAAGUAGCUAGGACUACAGGCGCACACCACCGUGCCCGGCUAAUUUUUGUAUUUUUGGUAGAGACAGGGUUUCACCAUAUGGGCCAGGUUGUUCUUGAACUCCUGACCUUGAGAUCCACCUGCCUCAGCCUCCCAAAGUGUUGGGAUUACAGGUGUGAGCCACUGUACCCAGCCCUGAGUUUAAGUCUUCUGCAUAAAUACCCAGAACUGGGAUUGGUGGAUGAUAUGGCAAUUCAAUGUUUAGUGUUUUUGUGGAACCUCCAUACUGUUUUCCAUAAAAUAGCUGUAGUAAUUUUCAUUCUCACUAACCGUGUGUGAGGAUUCCUUUUUCUCCACAUCCUCCAUGACACCUGUUAUCUCUGAUCAUUUUUAUUGUAACUAUUCUAGCAGCUUGAGGUGAUAUCAUGGUUUUAAUUUGUAUUUUCCUGAUGAUUAGUGAUGCUGAGCAUAGUUUUAUAUAUCUGGUGGCUAUUUAUUUGUAUGUCUUGUUUUGUUUAGUCAGGUGAUUUGCCCAGUUUCUUUUUUUCAUUUUCGUUUUCUUUUUUUUCUGAGGAAAAAUUUCAGAGUUCUAAAGUUGUUUUUUUUUUGUUUUUUAAGACAAGGUCUCCCUCUGUCACCCAGGCUGGAGUGCAGUAGUGCAAUCAUAGCUCACUGCAGUCUCAAACUCCUGGGCUCAAGCGAUACUUCUGCCUCAGCCUACAAAGCAAUUGGGACUACAGAUGUAUGCCACAAUUCCUGGUUCAUGUAUACAGUUUCUAACUACUGAUAUAAACAGAACUAUGGAGUCAGCACGUCUCCUGAUAGGACCACCACCUUCAUGAUGAAACACAAGCUCAGCAGCAACUGGAGAAGAUGCUAAAGCCGUCUGUGGAAUUAGAGUGGCCUCGACCUUCUUCUCACCUCAAAUUUCAUGUGCAGAUCUUCAGUGAGAGCUUAACCAUCACUCAGUUGUCAAGGAAACCUGGAAAUGUAAUUUGUAAGUGUCUUAGUCAGUUUUCAUGCUGCUGACAAAGACAUACCUGAAACUGGAAAGAAAAAGAGGUUUAAUUGGCUUAUAGUUCCACAUGUCUGGGGAGGCCUCAGAAUCAUGGCAGGAGGCAAAAGUCACUUCUUACAUGGUGGCAGCAAGAUAAAAAUGAGGAAGAAGCAAAAGUGGAAACCCCUGAUAAACCCAUCAGAUUUCAUGAGACUUACUCACUAUCAUAAGAAUAGUAUGGGAAAGACCGGCCCGCAUGACUCAAUUACCUCUCCCUGGGUCCCUCCCGCAGCACGUGGGAAUUCUGGGAGAUACAAUUCAAGUUGAGAUUCGGGGAUGUGGCGGGGGUGGGCUACAGCCAUACUAUGCAUACAGCCAUACUAUAUGAGUAAGUGUAUAUGAGUAAGUGUGCAGACCCAGGAAGUUUAUAGAAGUGUAUACAUGAGCUGAAUAUCAAUGAACAGUAAUGGACCAUGUGCUGUCUGCAUACUUUGCACAAAAUGCCUAUCUGGGCAACUUAAUUAUGCUGCUUUUACUACUUUGUUUUGCUGAUAUUUUCAGCAAAUCUUAAGGUUACAUAACAGCAAUCAAUUAUCUCUAAUAGUACUUCCAAAUUUGAUGGGCAACAGUAUUAGUGCUUUGUAAUGUAUUUUUGAUUUGACUUCAAUAUAACAUUUGGAAAAGUCGCUGGAAAAAAUUAAUUCUUAUUUGAAUACUAAGCAUAUAUAAAAUAUGUAACAUAAGAUUUGACUCUAAUCUCAUCAACAAUCUAGUUUCUACCAAUAAAAAUCACACAUUAUUUUCCUCUUUCAAGUGCCCCACUGAUGCCUAUUACUAUGAGGAUAAAAUCCAAAGUUCCUAUCAUGGCAUGCAAGAAAGCACAAUGCCUGAGUCAGCAGAAAUCUCUAAUCCCAUAUGGUACCCUAACCAUCUCAUUUACCAUGCCCUCUUUCAGCUCCCACAUGGUAAGCCAAUUUGUAGGGGCUUUUUCCUCCAGAGUUCUGCUCAAUACUCGUAUGAUUUUUUCUUGAUUUUUGGCGUUUCUGGGUCCUACUCAUAUAUUAAGUGUUGGUCAUAUACACUCUUUCAGAGAGGUCUUCCAACCAAUCUCAUUUAAAUGAAAGCCCAAUUUCACCUCCAGAGUUUCUCUAGUUUAUCAUUCAGCCUUUUUUUUCUUGUAGCACUCAUCAUUAUCUGAUUUACAUUACACAUUUUUGCCUACAUUUUUGCUGUCUCUUUCCUUACUGUAAUGUAAGUACCACAAUGGAAUGUUUCAUUUCUCUUGAUAAUUGCAGUUUCAAGUAUAUACAAAACACUCUUGUUGCAGGAAAUCCAUACAUAGGUAUGAACAAUGAUUUAAAGAGUCAAUGAAUAUUUGAUCCUCACCAUACCUACACAUACCCAAAUGUAGAUGUGAUAGAUACAGCAAGCUGAAUACUCACAAUCCAUUUUCUCCUCCUUCCUUUCUUGAAAUAAUUGGUUACCGUGGUAAUGAUUUUAGCAAAAUAAGACUUAAUUUCCCAGUUAUCUUUGCAGUUCUGGUUAUGUUCCACAAUUCAGACCAGUGAGGUGUGAGUGGAAACCUGUAUCUGUUUUCUCAAUUUCUUAUCAUAUGCAGUGAAAAUGGGAACAUUUCAUUUCCUUACGAAGAGGUACCUAUUCCUCUUUGUUUCUUCCUUUGAUAUCUUCCUAUCUGAUCUAUAAAUGGCAGGUUGGAUGAUAUGAUAUAAAUAGCAAUAUGUCUAAGGUCAGUCACCUUCGCAAUAGCUGAGUGACAACUUAAAUCUAUGUUUUCCUGCUCCAAUUUUAUAACAAGCAUAAACAUAUACAUCAAGAUUCAUCCUCACUACUGGAAACUUUCUCUGUCAAUUGCAUGGAAUAACAAGAAUCUGAAGAAUAGAGUAGCAUAUCCUGCAGACUAGAUCACAGAACCCAUUCAAAGCCCCUUCCCCUUGCCUUCACUUAUCAUAGAAAUUAUAAAACUAAAUCAAACAGCUUUUUAGACUCCUUUUCCAAACAGAAGUGGUUAUGUGAAAUGUACCUGGCUGAACCGCUUUAAGGGGAGGUUUCUGGGGUUGGCUACCUUUCCUGUCAAAGAUACAAAGACUCACAGCAAAAGGUAUUAAGCAUUUUCAAAAAAAUUUUCUGUUUGAAGUGGGUGAACAACUUCUAAAGGUGUAGCAUUCAUUAUGUGACUAGGACGAUGCCCUAGAUUGAAUGUGUGCAUCCUCCCACAAUUCGUAUGUGAAGACAUAAAACUCCAAAGAUGAUGGUAUUCAAAGGUACAAUCUUCGGAAAGUGAUUAGUGCUCUUAUAGUAGAGAUCUUCAAGAGUUCCCUUGUUCGUCCACCACAUGAGGACAUGGUUAGAAACCAGCUGUCUAUAAGCCAGACUUCCCAGCCUCCAGAACUGUGAGAAAUAAAUUCCUCUUGUUUAUAAGCCAGUCAGUCUAUGGCAUUCUCUUACAGUAGCUUAAACAGACUAAGACAGAGGACGAGGGCCACAAGGUCAGGAGGGCAGGGCAAAAAGAGAGAGUCCAGGUCCCUGGUAGCAUUGUUACUUUGCUGAGCCCUGACCUGCAAACCUACAAAACUUUUUGUUAGUUUUAUAGAAGAAAACGGGUCCUUUAAUUGUUUCAGCCAUUCUUGGUUGAGUUUUCUGUUAUUUACAGCUGAACUAAAUCUUAACUGAACCAGAGUUCAUACUGAAUAUGACGUAAAACAGAGGUCAGCUACCUCUGGCCUGAGCACUCUAUCGAGCUCAUUGUCUGUACUGUUAAAGAAAGUUUUUCUGGAAUACAGAACACAUUUACAUGAAAUCUUGGGCAUUUUGAAAAUUUCUGAGAUCUCUUAAAUGAUUAUGAAAGAAAAGUGUGAAGUACUCAACAAUAUGAGCACUUUUAGACACAUAACCUUGAACUUCUCAUUAUAUCACCAAUAGAACUGGGUAACCCUGAAUGUCUAGGUUUCUUAGUGUCUUGAUCUGUGUUAACAAAAAUGCACUAAAGCACUAAAAUAGCUUUUUUAGUUAUCUAGGAAAAGUCAGAUCAUCUUGGUGAGCAGGAGGUAUAUGGCAGUUUAUGCAUUUCUCCUGUUAAUACUUGUAAAACAGUUUGAGAGUGCUGAGUGCUUCCAAAGCCUAAUGCUGGGCUUUUAAUUUUCAGCCAUUUAUGCCGAUCCAGGUAUACGUUUGGAAAGUGAAAAGAAGUAAAUAAGUAAAUAAUAGUACAUAAAUAUAUAGGAAAUUGGAAAUGAGACUCUAAAUUCAUACAAACACUAAAAACUGAUCAAUAGAUGAUAAGCAGCAUUUGUUCUGAAGCUGGAAUUCAAUUGCUAAAGCAGUAUCUAAAUGUAUUACAUGUCUCUGCUAGACAGUCUCCAAAGAUGGCCAUUUUCCCCUUCUUCCCUCCCCGCAUGUGGAGUUUGUGUAUUCCCCCUUAACCUUAGUCUGCCCUUUGACUUGCCUCUACUAAUACAAAGCAUUAGAAAUUAUAAUCUUGUAGUUCUAGGCUUACCCUUUAAGAAGCCUGUCUGCUUUCUUCUGAGGAGAUGUCUUCUACAAUGUAAGAAAUCCAAAUCCCUAGAGACCCCCAUAUUGUAAGGAAGACCACGUUCACCCUGUGGAAAGAUCACAAAUGGAGAAGAAUUAAGAAAUGCAAAGAUCGUGUGUGAAGAAGAAUUGAGAAAUGCAAAGAUCAUAUGUGGAGAAUAACUGAGAAAUCUAAGAUGUGAGACAGCCAGAAUCAAGUUCCUGGAAAUAUGACCCCAGUCGAAACCUCCAUUUAGCUUCCAGGCAUUUGAACCAUCCAGCUGAGGUCUGAAGUCAUAUAGCUGAGAGAGUGACCUUCUUUGCCCUGUUCGAAGUCCUCACCCGAAGACUCAUGAGAAAAUCAAUGGAUGUUCUUUUUUUUUUUAUACUUUGAGUUUUAGGGUACAUGUGCACAACAUGCAGGUUAGUUACAUAUGUAUACAUGUGCCAUGUUGGUGUGCUGCACCCAGUAACUCAUCAUUUAACAUUAGGUAUAUCUCCUAAUGCUAUCCCUCCCCCCACCCCAUCACAGGCCCCAGUGUGUGAUGUUCCCCUUCUUGUGUCCAUGUGUUCUCAUUGUUCAAUUCCCACCUAUGAGUCAGAACAUGCGAUGUUUGGUUUUUUGUCCUUGCGAUAGUUUGCUGAGAAUGAUGGCUUCCAGCUUCAUCCAUGUCCC
rnacentral:lncRNA from 10 species